CUAAAUCGAAUCGCCCGUGGUGGCGGCGGCGGCGGCGGCCUGAAUCGCCCCUGGCGGCGACCGACGCAUUCCUACGGUUUUUUUUCAUCGGAGCGGGCGGCGGAAGGCGGAGGGCGCAUCGGAGAGGGGCCUCUUCCUCGCGGCGGCAGCGGCAACGGCGGGCUUGUUCCUCGCGGCGGCAGCGGCGGGCUUGUCCCUUGUGGCGGUGGUGGCGGCGCGGCUGCGUGGGGGAAGGGAAGCAGCUGCGGCAAUGGCCGCGUGGGCGAAGAGAAGCGGCUUCGGUAGCAGAGGGGCGCAAGGUCUGCUGCCGCAACAGACGCCUAGGGUUCCACCUUCUCCAACCCUAACCAGCUCUGCCGCAGCCAACGAGAUCUCGCUCUCACCGUCAACACCAGCAAAGGCUUCAACCCGUCAUCCACCUAAGAGAGAAAACCUAUUGGAGAAAACAAUGAACUACUUUCCAGAGAGAUUGGACUUCUUACACGUUACCAUGGCUCUGUGAUCAUUUUGAAUCAGAAGAAUUUAAGGCUAACCGCUCAAACCUACCUUAUGUUCACAUGAAGGGAACAAAGUCAUUUGUAGCUGUUCAACAUGAAUUAGUAAGUCACUAUUACUUAUCUUUAUCUUGUGUCACAAUUGUUGUGAAAGCAGAAUAUAUAAACUUGUAGCUAUCUUAUAUUCAUGUCUUUUGACUUCAAAUCUUGUAUUAUCAGAAUUGUGUCAAUAUCAGACUGUACAAGGAGUGUUACUCUAGUGAUAAGAAGGGAUGGGCAUCAGAAGAUGCCAGGAAUAAACAUGUAAGUGCCAUGUAACAAAUUAAUUUCUGUUGAGAAAGAUUAAGCAAUGAGAAUACUAGACACAAAUGAGAACUAGAGAGCAAGAAAUGGGAGAAAUGACCACUGAAACAGAGAAAAAUAAUAGCUAGAGCUUAGAGAGGAAUGAUCAUGCUAUUUGUGCCAACAAUGGGUCGGUAAUAAGAGAGAAAGAAGUUGGCAGCUAUGCAGCAAAAGGCUUUAACCGUGUUUGAAUCUGUUUCACCAUGUGCAUGACAUAGGUACAAACUUUGAAGUGCCCUAUUUUCUCAUGACUUGUAGUAGAUGGUGCACUAUUAUUAGGACUGUAGUAAUUUAAGACUGAGAAAGUCAAUUUCUGUAAGAUCCUCAUCAAGCAUUGUCAUCAUUGGGAAUCAAAUAAUUUUUGCUUGACUAUAUGGUUCUUGUACUUUUAAGUAGUAGGGAUGGCAGAACUGGACUUUAAUGGCUGCGGUUGUUCAAAUAAUUCAAAGUUGUUAGUGUUGCAUUAUACUAACAAUAAAUUUGGGUACUUUUAAAUACAUUAUUAUGUUGCUGCAUUUAAGAAUGUAAAUGCCUUUCAUUUCUUGUAUUAUUAAUGCAGGAAGAAAUGUUAUGAACAUAUAAAGGAGGGCGAAGUACCUUUAACCGAGCAACAGAUUUGCGAGCAGGUGCUUGGUAAGGCAUAUGGUUACAUCAGAGGUCGGGGUCAUGGACGGCACUAGUGCGAGACGGCUCGGUUUCCCAACUGAUAGAUCUGUUUUCAGGUCAGGCUACAGAUCUAUUCUUCUGAUGGUUCUCUGGUCUCAGAUGGAGGGUCGAGGGGGUGAAGCAAUUUUGGAGAGGUGUAGAGGACAUGUGGGGAGUGAUCGGAGCAGUGCUAAACUUGAUUCUUUGCAGAUGCCAAAAGUUCAGUUUACCCAAAUGCCAAAAGAGUAGUUCCUGCUUUGUAAAUUUGGCUUGCGAAUACUAGAUGCAAAAUACUACUCCCUCUGUCCCAUAAUAUAAGAACGUUUUUUAUACUAGUAUAGUGUCAAAAACGUUCUUAUAUUAUGGGACGGAGGGAGUAGAAUACUUCCUAGUUGGUGAUUGGAUUAUAUGUUUGGAGCAGUACUAAAGUGGUACUUUACAAAUACUAGAAUGGUCUUUCCUAGUUGUGA